rnacentral:rRNA from 1 species
CCCUUAGAUGUCCUGGGCCGCACGCGCGCUACACUGAACGGAUCAGCGCGUUUUCCCUUCCCGAGAGGGACGGGUAACCUGCUGAACCCCGCUCGUGGUAGGGAUCGGGGCUUGCAAUUAUUCCCCGUGAACCAGGAAUGCCCAGUAAGUGCAAGUCAUAAGCUUGCGUUGAUUACGUCCCUGCCCUUUGUACACACCGCCCGUCGCUACUACCGAUUGAACGUUUUAGUGAGGUACUCGGACUGAGCCUCAGAAGAUUCACGUCUUUUGUGCUGCUCGGGAAGAUUCCCAAACUUGAGCGUUUAGAGGAAGUAAAAGUCGUAACA